AUCAACCCCCCAAAUUUAUCCCUGUAACUCGGCUAAUUCAGCAUCCAAGCUCAACCUCUUUGGUAUGGCAACUUCAAUGCCACGACACCUCAGUCCCAUUAAGCGAUCAAAGUCCUUCUCCAUUACUGACAGGUUUCACCUGUGGAUCUUGAUGGUACAAUUUUUCACAUUAAAAUUGUCCAACAACAUUUUGCAUAGUGACAGGUUUAACUCCCUGCAUCGAAACUGGUGCACAGGACCAAAUCCCAAAUCAUUAAUCUCAAAUACCUUAUCAUUUGAAAUUCGGGACACUACGUCUUUAAACACUUUUGGCUUACAUCCUAUUAAAAUUCCACAGUCUCCAUCCAAUGGGAUCCGGAUCCUCUCCUAAUAAACCUCUGCUAAUACUUCCUAAUAAGAAGAUCUAGACCGUUCAUUUUCCAUAGACGGUCAAGAUAUUAACAAGGCUAUUUCUCAUCUACUCUCUUAUUUCUGUCUCGAUCAAAUUCUCAUCCCAUUCUCUCUCUCUUUCGUCCCGGAAAUCAAUCUCGCCUCUGUUCGGACCUCUUCCCAACCUCCGGCUCCGGUGUGGAGGUGUCCUCCACGCAGAAGACCCAUUUGCUCUGGGACCGAAAUCUCUCUUUGACUCUUCUGAUUACCGGUAGCUUGAAUUGCGUUACAUCAACAGUUGCCCAAAGUGGGACUGUGUUUCGUCUCCAUAAAACUUGUUUUGAAUUGCUUUUUGAAGGCACGAGCACGUUGACAAUUAUUCUGGUGAUUGAGAGUUUUGUUGUUACNNNNNNNNNNNNNNNNNNNNUAAUGCCAUGUACAUGACCUCAUCAAGCCAUAAUCUGGAUGUGGUUGGUCAUUGUACUUCAAGAGUUCAAGGCAUCUAGCUGAACAGCUUCUUCUGCGCUAAACUAGAGCACAAAUCAUAUACAGAGAAAUAAGAUGUCUUUUGUUGCAUUCCGUCCAAAGCCAAGACACAAGCUUAUCAAAUAACCCACACAAAACAACCUCAUUUGGAUGGUCACCUGGUCACCCACUACUCUAACCGACCCUUCAACUCAAACCCUGCACAUCUGAAGUCUCCGGCCAUCCUGUUAUGGGCUCAAAAAUCUUCCGAGAAAAGGAGUCCUCAGUCCGGCGAGCUCGCUAGCCAGAUAUAGAGGGCCCAAGCCGCCGUGGAGGACACCAGAGCCGGAGGUUGAGAAGAGGUCCGGACGGAAGCAAGAUUGAUUUCGGGGACGAGAGAGAGAGAGAGAGAGAGAGAGAGAGAGAGAGAGAGAGAGAGAGAGAGAGAGANAGGAAGNGANNNNNNNNNNNNNNNNNNNNGAGAGAGAGAGAGAGAGAAUGGGACGAGAAUUUGAGAGAGAGUCGAGACAGAAAUAAGAGAAUAGAUGAGAAAUAGCCUUGAGUUAAGAGUAUGAGAGAUCUUAACCGUCUAUUGAAAAUAAACGGUCUAGAUCUUCUUAUUAGGAAGUAUUAGCAGAGGUUCAUUAUGAGAGGAUCUGGAUCCCAUCCAAUGCUUUGUUCCUCUUAUCAAUAUGCUUGUCCUCUAGCUGGAAAACCCCUCCCCUUAACCACUCUUCUUCACCCAGCUUCUGCGUUGUUAAUACAGUGACAAGUACCCAGUAUUAAACGUCAAAUCAUUACACAACACAUAAUAAAACAAAUCAAACAAUGUAGCUACCUUAUCAUCAUAUAACAAGUCUGUGUUUCUCCAAUUCCAAUUCAUUCCUCCCAUCAUACUGUUCAAUAAUACAUUCAAAGCCGGUUAGCAAGAAUGUAUUCGCAAAUAUAACUCCCACUAAUUAUUUAGGUACUUACUCCUCACUUCCGGAUCCUCCGUGUCUUUCCAAACCUUCCUUACAGGCUCUCUUCCUUGUUUCGGACUUCGUCGCAUGCUCAGACUCACGUUUCUUCCUGCCCGUACCCUGCCGUUUCCACAUUCAUAAACGCAUUUACAUUUCAACUGUUUCAGAUAACUAAAAAUUCAAAAUAUUUUGAUGCAAAUUGUAACACUAACCAUUAUAUGCUUAUAAAUUUCAAUGAAUAUAAUCUGAUUUCAAUAAUUAACAAAUUUCACAUGUCUCGUUAUCCGGUAUCUAAACAAAAUUAUAGGGAUCUCGAAUUUCUUACGGUUUCUUCCAUGGAUGAUCAGACCGGUUGCCGAUUUCUGGAACGCGACUCCGAUGCACUGAAUUUCAGUUUCUGGAUCUAUAUCGGAAACCGACGACUCAGGGCGGUAUUUUCUGGAAAAACCCACAGCUUGCGCAAGAUUUUGAAUUCUGCUCCGACGGCUGAUAUGAAGUAACAGAAUCGUUCUGCUUUCGUCCACGCAGAGAAACCCUAGAUUUUGGAGAGAAGAAAAGGAAUCAGAAGAUCUGUUUCAGUCGAUCCUAUUAAUCGAUUCUGGAUGGCACGGGCGAGACGCGUGCGUACACGGUAAAAGUAUGAGUGAAAUUUUGGAUACCCUAUACAUACUAGCCAAAUACAGACCGUCUUAAUACAGAAUCCAGGGGGACAGUACACAGACAGUAGGGGCAGCUGGGUGCAGCACCCUUUGGGUGCAUUCCAGAAUUCUCCCUGAUUCAUUUAUCAAGGUUAGUAUAUAUUUGUUUGGCCUAAUUAAAAACCAAAAGACAACAUGAAAUAUCAAUUACCGACUAGAAUUAUAUAAAACAACACAAAUUUAUAUCAAAGUGGGCCCAAUAACAGUAUGGCAGGCUUGAAUAAGUAUAAAAAAUGCCUCAGCCACGUUUAAGUGUUUGUAUGUGGGUGAUACCUACACUUUUAUGUUCAAGAGGAGUGGGUUUCAUCUCAUAUCCACAUUCUUUUUCUUUUGUGGCAACACAUGUUGUUGCUCAUAUUUGUAGUAGUGACUCUUGAUGGAGACUACUUCGACUACAAAAUAAACAAUGCAACCUCACAUAAUUAUUACCCUGUAAAUGUCAUCAUUAGUAUAAAAUAAGUAGGGAUCGUUCAGUCCAGGGAUGUCAAACGGUGAAUUGAACUUAUAAGUGCUAACACAUACUCACAUAAUCACAUAAUACACAGAAAUUGGAGGGGGGGGGGGGGGUGGUUUGGAAAGAUUUAUCUAACUAAAACUACUGCUGAAAUAAAACCUAAACUAACAUAUAUACAUGUGAUCGACAACUUCACAUAAAACAAGAAACGAAAACACUCAAGAACAUGUAACUAAUCAUGCAAGACAUUCGGUACAGCAGUUUCUACACAUCCUAGACUUUACUUCAAUUCCGACUCUGAUUUAGAGCCCUUCGCGGUUACUCCAAUCGUUAAGACUUCACAAGUAUUUAGAAUCAACUUCGCGUGUAAUCCUAAAUUGUAUACUAACUCAUUUAAAGGCACUUCACGUAGAAAUUAAACAAGAAAACACAUAAGCAUAGUAAGCCGAAUCAGAAACAUGCACAAGGUAUGGCGUCACUCAUCCUAUUAACAUCCAAGUUUUCAGAAUUAUACUUAACCACUUUUAAGCAACAAAGACCUAGACAACUUCGCGUAUGACUAAAUCAUAUAUCACUUUGGUAGAUGAAAUUGCAACCCACAUAUCAACUAUGGCCUUAGGCUAUAUGCAACCAUUGAUUUUGCCUGCUCAAUUCAGAAAACUAAUCGAAUACAAUCAAGAACGCAUUGAAACAUGCUGCCCUAAAUCUAGCACAGAAAAUAUCACAUGAACAAGUUUGAAACAAUAGUCAUACAUAAGUUAUAAAUAUCAGAAAAUCUAAACAUGUUACAAAACCAAAUCGGUAACCAUAAAAACAAACAAUCUUCAUAGACAAAGUGUCGUAAAAUUACAGAAACAUAAACAGUCAUGAGAAGAAUGGAUCGCACUUUGUAGAAACCUUGAAUGGUUGCUGCAAAGGUGGUGGAAUUGGUGAUGGAAUUAUACAAAACAAAAGGGAGAUAGUGGUGGUUCGGCUAAUCUAGUUUCUGUAUAGGGUUUAUGGUGAGGAAUUGGUAGAGUUCCGGCUUGUGUUUGUAUGGAAGAAGUGAUGCCCAUUUAUGAAGCCAAGCAGCCUUUAUAUAGUGUCCAUAAAUUUCUCUUAGCCCUUGAUUCAAUCUUGAUCCAACGGUCCUCCUCGAUUGCACAAAGUCUGCUAUUUAUCUCCACUGAUAUUUUCCUUAUCUUCAAAGAUAUUUAUCUUAUCUCUAAAGAUAUUUCUAGACAUGUGCAAUAAUGUUUUGAAUAUAGCUUGAAUCAUGUCCGGAUACAUUGCUUAGCCUCCAAGAGUCUUCAUAGCAAGGAUUACUUGUUCAAAUUGAACUUCUCCUCAAUUAAUGAUGUGGGACUAGCUCCACAAUUUUGACUUUUCUCCUCCCUUUUAGAGUUGGAAUCCAAAUUUGCUUCUUCUUCCUUCUUUGGACUUGGGCCUCUUUUGGGUUUUCUACAUUUUCUCUUAAAUCCACGAUUUAGCUGUCUUUUCUCGAUUUAUGCUCUUAUUGUCUAACACUUUGUGCGUUUAUCAAUUAUCUCCUUAUUUAAUUCUCAAUUCGCGCUACAUUUUCUCUUCUUUAAUUUCUGACAAUAAGAAAGAAGAAAUAAAAUAAAGACAAGGUAAUUAUCACAAAUAUUACAGAAUCGUCAAAUAAUGAAGACUUUUAAUUCAACUAGGCUUCCUAGUUGCACAAGGAAUCCUACUCUAAAUAAAACUCUUGACAAAUUCUGCGUUUUCAGCUCGUUUUAGCACAAUAUACAACCGACUCUACCAGAAACUCUUAACUUGACUAAAUGACUCAAUAUUACAACAAUAAGGGUUAAGCAAAGUAUAACUGGAGAUAAAAAC
rnacentral:lncRNA from 1 species